CUACGGGUGGCUCCAGUGGGGAAUAUUGCACAAUGGGCGCAAGCCUGAUGCAGCCAUGCCGCGUGUAUGAAGAAGGCCUUCGGGUCGUAAAGUACUUUCAGCGGGGAGGAAGGGAGUAAAGUUAAUACCUUUGCUCAUUGACGUUACCCGCAGAAGAAGCACCGGCUAACUCCGUGCCAGCAGCCGCGGUAAUACGGAGGGCGCAAGCGUUAAUCGGAAUUACUGGGCGUAAAGCGCACGCAGGCGGUUUGUUAAGUCAGAUGUGAAAUCCCCGGGCUCAACCUGGGAACUGCAUCUGAUACUGGCAAGCUUGAGUCUCGUAGAGGGGGGUAGAAUUCCAGGUGUAGCGGUGAAAUGCGUAGAGAUCUGGAGGAAUACCGGUGGCGAAGGCGGCCCCCUGGACGAAGACUGACGCUCAGGUGCGAAAGCGUGGGGAGCAAACAGGAUUAGAUACCCUCGUAGUC
rnacentral:rRNA from 1 species